GUAGGUGGCAAGCGUUGUCCGGAAUUAUUGGGCGUAAAGCGCGCGCAGGCGGUUUUUUAAGUCUGAUGUGAAAGCCCACGGCUCAACCGUGGAGGGUCAUUGGAAACUGGAGAACUUGAGUACAGAAGAGGAAAGCGGAAUUCCACGUGUAGCGGUGAAAUGCGUAGGGAUGUGGAGGAACACCAGUGGCGAAGGCGGCUUUCUGGUCUGUAACUGACGCUGAGGCGCGAAAGCGUGGGGAGCAAACAGGAUUAGAUACCCUGGUAGUCCACGCCGUAAACGAUGAGUGCUGAGUGUUAGGGGGUUUCCCGCCCCUUAGUGCUGCAGCUAACGCAUUAAGCACUCCCGCCUGGGGAGUACGCCCGCAAGGCUG
rnacentral:rRNA from 1 species